ACUGAGUCAGGAUGGUGUUUCCAAUGUUGGUGGUUCUUUUGUUAGGCUUUCUGAGUCAGGAGUCAUUUGCCAAUAAUUUUCUGACUCAGACUGAUGAAGCCAAGUCUGUCAGUCUUGGUGGGACUGUGACCAUCAGCGCCACAGGGAGUUCAAAUAUUGGUCCUGAUCUCAGUUGGUACCUUCAGAAAACAGGAGAGACCCCCAAACUUCUUAUAUACAAAGCAUCAACUCGCUCCUCAGGAACUCCGUCUCGAUUCAGUGGCAGUACAUCUGGUUCUCAGUACACUUUAACCAUCAGUGGUGUUCAGGCUGAAGAUGCUGGAGAUUAUUACUGUCUGGGUGAUCAUGGUGGUGGAGCACUCACACAGUGAUUUAGAGCUGUACAA